UGCAGUUUCCCUCUCAACAUAAUGGCCUCACAUUCAAUCAUUUGGUCUCUUUUUUCUUCAAUGCACAAUGACCUGCUGCUUCACCGGCAACCUCCAACCAGCCUUGUUCACCCUGUUUCAGCUACUCCGCCUCCAGCAUCUCCGACUACACGUCCACUAGCUCGGGAAAUGGAGUUUGCUGACAUCCCCAAGAAAAGAUACAAACAUGGUAAGAAGACUGAUGGGGAUCGAGGCUAUUCCCAUUCAUAUUGAUGACUUUGAAUCGAGACAUGUAUAUAUGUAGGCGCUGAGUCUCAGCUUGCAGAGGAAGGAAAAUAAGAAAGAAGUAGUAGAAGCCAAAGAGAAACAAAGAUAAAGGAAGAGAUGAAUACACAGAGCCAGACAACAACUGCUCUUCCGACAACAUCUUGCAAAAAGCAUGUGAAUGAUGAUAAUACCACUUUCCUUGCUAACUUCAAGGAUCGUUUCAGUGCAUUCGUCAAUACCCCAAUGGAUGAACACAAGACUUGUUUCAAAAACACCAUGAACAAGGUUCGCUCCCAGUUUUCUAUACCUCCUUCGACCAUGGACAAGGUUUGUUCCCAGUUUUCUGUAUCUUCUUGGAUGUCGAAGGAUGAUGCCCAGAAGAAGGAUGAUGACGUGAAGAAAGUGGAGAGUCACUCGCCUCUUUAGGGCAGCAGAUUUUGCCAGAUUCAACUGAAACUUUAAUUUUCUACUUAAUAAAAUCCACUGUUUUUCUCUUUAUGUUCUUAAUAAAAUAGAUUGAAGUUUUUCUAUAAAUUUUCUUGCUUUGGAUUUUAGAAGUUUAAAAAGCUCCC